rnacentral:rRNA from 1 species
UACGUAGGGUCCAAGCGUUAUCCGGAAUCAUUGGGUUUAAAGGGUCCGUAGGCGGUUUUGUAAGUCAGUGGUGAAAGCCCAUCGCUCAACGGUGGAACGGCCAUUGAUACUGCAAGACUUGAAUUAUUAGGAAGUAACUAGAAUAUGUAGUGUAGCGGUGAAAUGCUUAGAGAUUACAUGGAAUACCAAUUGCGAAGGCAGGUUACUACUAAUGGAUUGACGCUGAUGGACGAAAGCGUGGGUAGCGAACAGG